rnacentral:lncRNA from 1 species
AUACAGUGGGCGUUUCCGGACACCGACAGGGCAUACGAUCAGUAUCCUCCACAGCCCUGGUUCCGGGGGCCCAGAGAGGAUGCUACGGGAAGGAGAUAAACCGGUGUGGCCAAGUAAGCGCCACAAGCGCAGGGCAGGCGAAGGGUAAGCGGGGAGGAAACCACCUGGGAGGGCCCCUGUCGGCCGGCCAUUGGUCGGUGUUCAGACGGACGGUUCCUCCCGCCCCACGUGGAUAGCCUCUAUCGAGGGAGCCCCUGUCGAAGACGGCCUCCCGUCUUAUUGACAAGCUUCAACCGCGCCCCGUUCGAGCGAGAUAAAGAGGGAGAGGGAGUGGACAUUUUCUCCUUGAGAGGGGACUCCGGAUGGGAAAGAGAGAGAGAGAAGGGCCUUCCCAUUUUGAUAGGUGAUUUCUCCUUAGUAGGAGAUAGAGAGAGUGGCCUCCCACAUCGAGAGGUGUUUUCUCCCUAGUAGGAGAUAUAGAGAAUAGCUAUUCACCUUACAUAUGAUUUCCCCCGAGUAGGGGAUAGAGAGAAUGGCCUUUUCACCUUGACAGGUGUUUUCUCCUUAGUAGGAGACAUAGAGAAUAGCUAUUCACCUGACUUAUGAGGUAUCCUAGUAGGGGAUGGAGAGAAUGGCCUACUCACAUUGACGGUGUUUUCUCCUUAGUAGGAGAUAUAGAGAACAGCUAUUCACCUGACAUAUGAGCUCUCCCUAAUAGGAGAUAGAGAGGAGGGCCUUCUCACCUAGAGAGGUGUUUUCUCCUUGGUAGGAGAUAUAGAGAAUAGCUAUCCACCCGACUUAGGAGGUAUCCUAGUAGGGGAUGGAGAGAUGGCCUACUCACAUUGACAGGUAUUUUCUCCUCAGUAGGAGAUAUAGAGAAUAGCUAUACAGUGGGCGUUUCCGGACACCGACAGGGCAUACGAUCAGGACCCUCCACAGCCCUGGCUCCGGGGGCCCGGGGAGGAAGCUACGGGAAGGAGAUAAACCGGUGUGGCCAAGUAAGCGCCACAAGCGCAGGGCAGGCGAAGGGUAAGCGGGGAGGAAACCACCUGGGAGGGCCCCUGUCGGCCGGCCAUUGGUCGGUGUUCAGACGGACGGUUCCUCCCGCCCCACGUGGAUAGCCUCUAUCGAGGG